rnacentral:piRNA from 1 species
UCUCUAUUGAGGAUGAUCAAGUGUGGUAG